rnacentral:rRNA from 1 species
AACGAACGCUGGCGGCAUGCCUAACACAUGCAGGUCGAACGAGACCUUCGGGUCUAGUGGCGCACGGGUGCGUAACGCGUGGGAACCUGCCCUUAGGUUCGGAAUAACUCCCCGAAAGGGAUGCUAAUACCGGAUAAUGUCUUCGGACCAAAGAUUUAUCGCCUUUGGAUGGGCCCGCGUUGGAUUAGCUAGUUGGUAGGGUAAAAGCCUACCAAGGCGACGAUCCAUAGCUGGUCUGAGAGGAUGAUCAGCCACACUGGGACUGAGACACGGCCCAGACUCCUACGGGAGGCAGCAGUGGGGAAUAUUGGACAAUGGGCGAAAGCCUGAUCCAGCAAUGCCGCGUGAGUGAUGAAGGCCUUAGGGUUGUAAAGCUCUUUUACCCGGGAUGAUAAUGACAGUACCGGGAGAAUAAGCUCCGGCUAACUCCGUG